rnacentral:rRNA from 1 species
UUCAUGGAGAGUUUGAUCCUGGCUCAGGACGAACGCUGGCGGCGUGCCUAAUACAUGCAAGUCGAGCGGACAGAUGGGAGCUUGCUCCCUGAUGUUAGCGGCGGACGGGUGAGUAACACGUGGGUAACCUGCCUGUAAGACUGGGAUAACUCCGGGAAACCGGGGCUAAUACCGGAUGCUUGAUUGAACCGCAUGGUUCAAUUAUAAAAGGUGGCUUUUAGCUACCACUUACAGAUGGACCCGCGGCGCAUUAGCUAGUUGGUGAGGUAACGGCUCACCAAGGCAACGAUGCGUAGCCGACCUGAGAGGGUGAUCGGCCACACUGGGACUGAGACACGGCCCAGACUCCUACGGGAGGCAGC